rnacentral:misc_RNA from 1 species
UCUCCGUAGGUGAACCUGCGGAGGGAUCAUUACAAGUGACCCCGGUCUUACCACCGGGAUGUUCGUAACCCUUUGUUGUCCGACUCUGUUGCCUCCGGGGCGACCCUGCCUUCGGGCGGGGGCUCCGGGUGGACACUUCAACUCUUGCGUAACUUUGCAGUCUGAGUAAACUUAAUUAAUAAAUUAAAACUUUUAACAACGGAUCUCUUGGUUCUG